rnacentral:lncRNA from 1 species
CGAAAGCCUUCUUAUGCAUUACCAACAUACAAUGAUGAACAAGUUAGCUUGCUCUUGUUCUCUGUCAUUUGGAUAGGUUGUGUGGCUUGUAUCUCCAGGGGACUUUUAUAGCAAUAGUAAAGCCAGUACAGAAUUAUAAUUAUAACUCCUUGUUUACGUAAAUGCCUACAAAUAAUAAAAAUAUUCCACAAGAAUUAAAAGCCUUCUCCCCUAUUUGUAGUUUUCGAAGUUUUUGUGGUCUCAAGCAUACAUGAAGGAAGAAGAAACAUACUGGAUUUCCAUCCUUUGUGUGGACGAAGAAAACAUAAGUCCAUUUCCAUACUGGAUUUUUGCAAGUCCAUUUUUCCUAGUGUAUGCUUGGUAAGGAUGGACGGAUGAUGCUAGCUAGGUCACCACUCACCAGUGUCAUAGCAUGCGUGCGUGCGUGCAUGUUUCUGUUUACUGUAGAUAAACAUCUUGCAACUCAUCUAUAAAAAAUUGAGCAUCGAAACUCUUCCCAGCGUUGUUUUCCCACACAAACCUUCUGAUUUGACAGAAUAUAUUGGAAGCAAGAAAACCUGGAUUAGCAGAAAUAUAAAUGCGGAUUCCACAGAUCCAUCCAGGCAUGAACUGAAGGCAAUCGCCGCCUUGAGAACACAAACUGAGCCGGCCUGCUCCUUGCUGCUUGCAUCGCUGAUAGCAACUCGAUUAGUUGUCAUGAUGCAUUUCAGAUCAUAUUUCUUGCAGCUCAGUCAGCAAUGCAUCAACUAUCCAUUUGACGCAAGACUAUGGAACAUACCCUUCUCCUGCCAUGGCUAUUCUGACUGAACUGACAUAGCAAAAUGUCUACAUGGCUGCUUUCAGUACUGGAUACAGAAUAAUAAUCCUUGCAGGUUCAUCCUGUAGAGGGCUCAAAACAAAGUAGUGAGAACACUUGUAGUUCUUGAUCGAUUACAUAUGGAAACUAUUACGGUACAUGUUUUUUUCAGUACUGGUCAAAUACGGAAACUAUUACGGUACAUGUUUUUUCAGUACUGGUCACCUAAACUGGCAUGUUACGCUAUUAGCAAGUUAUCAUGGAUCAUACCUUGAUGUCCAAAGUCCUUCCAACCAACACAUGCAUAGCUAAAAUCUUGUCCACAUAUUACUGUUGAUCAAGGCUUCCAUCACAUGAGAUAGGAAAUAUUUUCUUUGUGGAUUCUCCUUCCCAUCUCAGCACACAUGAUUGAAAUGCAAGGCCACAUGUAGACCAACAAACAUAUUCCUUAGAGCAGUACUUCAGUAGUAGGCCUAGUGGAUGGAUGGCCAGCCCCAGAC